CGACGGGUGAGUAACACGUGAGUAAUCUGCCUUCAGCUCUGGGAUAGCUCCGGGAAACCGGGAUUAAUACCGGAUAUGACCACUUCGGACAUCUGUUGUGGUGGAAAGUUUUUCGGCUGGAGAUGAGCUCGCGGCCUAUCAGCUUGUUGGUGGGGUAACGGCCUACCAAGGCGACGACGGGUAGCCGGCCUGAGAGGGCGACCGGCCACACUGGGACUGAGACACGGCCCAG
rnacentral:rRNA from 1 species